rnacentral:rRNA from 1 species
GACGAACGCUGGCGGCGUGCCUAAUACAUGCAAGUAGAACGCUGAAGAGAGGAGCUUGCUCUUCUUGGAUGAGUUGCGAACGGGUGAGUAACGCGUAGGUAACCUGCCUUGUAGCGGGGGAUAACUAUUGGAAACGAUAGCUAAUACCGCAUAACAAUGGAUGACACAUGUCAUUUAUUUGAAAGGGGCAAUUGCUCCACUACAAGAUGGACCUGCGUUGUAUUAGCUAGUAGGUGAGGUAAUGGCUCACCUAGGCGACGAUACAUAGCCGACCUGAGAGGGUGGGCGGCCACACUGGGACUGAGACACGGCCCAGACGCCUACGGGAGGCAGCAGUAGGGAAUCGUCGGCAAUGGGGGCAACACUGACCGAGCAACGCCGCGGGAGUGAAGAAGGUUUUCGGAUCGUAAAGCUCGGUUGUAAGUCAAGAACGGGUGUGAGAGUGGAAAGUUCACACUGUGACGGUAGCUGACCAGAAAGGGACGGCUAACUACGUG